AAAAUACAUAAAAAUGAUAAAUUCUAGUCAUGGCUCACAUUGGAAAUGCACCCCAGAAGCACCGUGGCUUCUCACAGCAGGGCAGGGGCAGCCCUAGUGGGGAGGAGCAGACUUCGGGGUCACUGGGUGUCCCAGGCUCCGCCUCUCCCCGGGGCAGGGCUGCAGGCAAUGGCUGUGUGUCAGGGUGUGUGUGUGUCAGGGUGUGUUGGUCUCUGCCUUGUAGACCAGAGCUGAUAAUCGGACACCUACGGGAGCUUGAGCAGGUGCUCCAGCAGCACGGUCUGUCGUUGCCUUUGUCCCUGAGGAUCGCUGACAGAUGCUUAGGGACCCAUUACAGAUCUGGGACGACGUCAAGAAGUGGAUGACAUCCAGGGAGCUGUUCUCCAGAUGGGCAUCAUGGUCGUGGCUGGCGAGAGCUAGAAAAAAGGAAGAGUGAGAGGUAGACAGAGGGAGGAAGAAGACGUUUCGCUGGUGCGUCAUCAACAGAAAACCAAACGGUCAGUGUUUAAUUUUGUUGUUGUUUUGGAGACAGGGUCUUGCUUGGUAGCCCAGGCUGGCCUCAAACUCAUGGCAAUCC
rnacentral:lncRNA from 1 species